GUGUGUGUGUGUGUGAAACAAAAGAAGAUCUAUAGCUAAAUUACUGAUAUAAUGCUUAUGUAAGCAAAUUUUUAUGAAUUGUGCUUUCUGAAUGAUUUAUUACAGCUUUUGCUGUGACAUAUUUUA